rnacentral:rRNA from 1 species
AUGCAUAAGUACCUUGAGGACAGUCUAAAUCCUAGUCAACAGCGUGUGGACUGCAGCCAGGCAGACAUCAACUAUAUCCUCAAGCUCAUCCACAUCCUGUGCCUACCCGAAAUGAAAAUCUUCUUCGAUACAACUAGGCUGCUAGCCAAACACACAGAUGAUCUGUUAGAUGAGCUCUGCAAGUACAUAGUAGAUGGGAAGAUCGUCCAUACGGCUGUUUUGCUCCUAGCAGCUCAAAAGCAGAUCCGCGGGCUAUCUUCCUGCAAUGGAUGUGGGAGUAGUAAGAAAGAUGGGUUUGGUACUAUCACUAACUUUGUCGUGGACAACAUUACUGCUAUAAAGAUGCGCCAAAACAGACUGGAAAUGGAGCCACUAGAGGUGAAAAAGGAGCUUCUUGAUGUUACAUUGAAUCUUGUUCAUGUAAUUUUCAAAGCUGGUGAAGCUCUUGAUGUUUACAUAAGGUCUCAUCCAAAGAUUCCCUGUGUCAUGGAAGUGGCCCAUGCGGAGGUCUUUGAACAUGUUACGCUCAUUCUGAAGGAUCAUGGAUUUUUUUUCUAUUGGAGAUGGCAUAGACAUUGGAAAUCUCCAACCCUAUCGGAAUGUGCUAUCCUCUCAAGAGCUACCUCGCAAAUUAGAGGAGAUGGCUAG